rnacentral:rRNA from 1 species
ACUCCUACGGGAGGCAGCAGUGGGGAAUAUUGCACAAUGGGCGCAAGCCUGAUGCAGCAACGCCGCGUGAGGGACGACGGCCUUCGGGUUGUAAACCUCUUUUAGUAGGGAAGAAGCGAAAGUGACGGUACCUGCAGAAAAAGCACCGGCUAACUACGUGCCAGCAGCCGCGGUAAUACGUAGGGUGCAAGCGUUAUCCGGAAUUAUUGGGCGUAAAGAGCUCGUAGGCGGUUUGUCGCGUCUGCUGUGAAAACUGGAGGCUCAACCUCCAGCCUGCAGUGGGUACGGGCAAACUAGAGUGCGGUAGGGGAGAUUGGAAUUCCUGGUGUAGCGGUGGAAUGCGCAGAUAUCAGGAGGAACACCGAUGGCGAAGGCAGAUCUCUGGGCCGUAACUGACGCUGAGGAGCGAAAGCAUGGGGAGCGAACAGGAUUAGAUACCCUGGUAGUCCAUGCCGUAAACGUUGGGCGCUAGAUGUGGGGACCAUUCCACGGUUUCCGUGUCGCAGCUAACGCAUUAAGCGCCCCGCCUGGGGAGUACGGCCGCAAGGCUAAAACUCAAAGGAAUUGACGGGGGCCCGCACAAGCGGCGGAGCAUGCGGAUUAAUUCGAUGCAACGCGAAGAACCUUACCAAGGCUUGACAUAUACCUGAAAAGGCUGGAAACAGUCUCCCCGCAAGGCAGGUAUACAGGUGGUGCAUGGUUGUCGUCAGCUCGUGUCGUGAGAUGUUGGGUUAAGUCCCGCAACGAGCGCAACCCUCGUUCUAUGUUGCCAGCACGUAAUGGUGGGAACUCAUAGGAGACUGCCCGGGUCAACUCGGA